GAUGAACGCUAGCGGCAGGCUUAAUACAUGCAAGUCGAGGGGUAGCAAGAUUGUAGCAAUACAAUUGUUGACAACCGGCAAACGGGUGCGGAACACGUACACAACCUUCCUACAAGUGGGGAAUAGCCCAGAGAAAUUUGGAUUAAUACCCCGUAACAUAGCGAUGUGGCAUCACAUUGCUAUUAUAGCUUCGGCGCUUGUUGAUGGGUGUGCGGCUGAUUAGAUAGUUGGCGGGGUAACGGCCCACCAAGUCUACGAUCAGUAGCUGAUGUGAGGGCAUGAUCGGCCACACGGGCAGGGGGACACGGCCCCGACGCCUACGGGAGGCAGCAGUAAGGAAUAUUGGACAAUGGACGCAAGUCUGAUCCAGCCAUGCCGCGUGAAGGAUUAAGGUCCUCUGGAUUGUAGACUUCUUUUAUAAGGGACGAAAAAAGGUCUUUCUAGAUCGUCUGACGGUACCUUAUGAAUAAGCACCGGCUAACUCCGUGCCAGCCGCCGCAGUAAUAC
rnacentral:rRNA from 1 species